rnacentral:rRNA from 1 species
GUCUACGGCCACGCCACCCUGAACAAGCCCGAUCCCGUCUGAUCUCGGAAGCUAAGCAGGGUCGGGCCUGGUUAGUACUUGGAUGGGAGACCACCUAGGAAGAUCAGGUGCUGUAGGCG